AACAGGAUUAGAUACCCUGGUAGUCCACGCCGUAAACGGUGGGUACUGGGUGUGGGUUUCCUUCCUUGGGAUCCGUGCCGUAGCUAACGCAUUAAGUACCCCGCCUGGGGAGUACGGCCGCAAGGCUAAAACUCAAAGAAAUUGACGGGGGCCCGCACAAGCGGCGGAGCAUGUGGAUUAAUUCGAUGCAACGCGAAGAACCUUACCUGGGUUUGACAUGCACAGGACGACGGCAGAGAUGUCGUUUCCCUUGUGGUCUGUGUGCAGGUGGUGCAUGGCUGUCGUCAGCUCGUGUCGUGAGAUGUUGGGUUAAGUCCCGCAACGAGCGCAACCCUUAUUUCAUGUUGCCAGCGCGUAAUGGCGGGGACUCGUGAGAGACUGCCGGGGUCAACUCGGAGGAAGGUGGGGAUGACGUCAAGUCAUCAUGCCCCUUAUGUCCAGGGCUUCACACAUGCUACAAUGGCCGGUACAAAGGGCUGCGAUGCCGCGAGGCUUAGCGAAUCCUUUAAAGCCGGUCUCAGUUCGGAUCGGGGUCUGCAACUCGACCCCGUGAAGUCGGAGUCGCUAGUAAUCGCAGAUCAGCAACGCUGCGGUGAAUACGUUCCCGGGCCUUGUACACACCGCCCGUCACGUCAUGAAAGUCGGUAACACCCGAAGCCAGUGGCCCAACCCUUGUGGGGGGAGCUGUCGAAGGUGGGAUCGGCGAUUGGGACGAAGUCGUAACAAGGUAACCGUA
rnacentral:rRNA from 1 species